rnacentral:rRNA from 1 species
UACGGGGGGGGCAAGCGUUGUUCGGAAUUACUGGGCGUAAAGGGCGCGUAGGCGGCCUGAUAAGUAGGGGGUGAAAUCCUGCGGCUUAACCGCAGGGCUGCCUUCUAAACUGUCAGGCUUGAGCACAGUAGAGGCAGGUGGAAUUCCCGGUGUAGCGGUGGAAUGCGUAGAGAUCGGGAAGAACAUCAGUGGCGAAGGCGGCCUGCUGGGCUGUUGCUGACGCUGAGGCGCGACAGCGUGGGGAGCAAACAGG